rnacentral:rRNA from 1 species
UAACUUCGGGAAACCGGAGCUAAUACCGGAUAAUAUAUUGAACCGCAUGGUUCAAUAGUGAAAGACGGUUUUGCUGUCACUUAUAGAUGGAUCCGCGCGCAUUAGCUAGUUGGUAAGGUAACGGCUUACCAAGGCAACGAUGCGUAGCCGACCUGAGAGGGUGAUCGGCCACACUGGAACUGAGACACGGUCCAG